ensembl:lncRNA
GGGUCGUGCCAUGUGUGAUAACAGGUGGGAUAUUAUGAAUAAGAAACUCGUUUUCUACUAUAGGUAGUAGGUAGCAUAGUGAUAGCAACAUUGUAACUCUCCGAUGCAUGGGGUUAAAGAUAAUUGGAGAUUAUUUGUUCAUCUUCCAAUAAAUAAGUGGUACGUCUACCUGUUUGACAGACACACUUAUCAAAUCCAUAGAUUCGGUAUAGCCAAAAACUAAAAUACUGUCGCAUGCACUGAUACCAGUUAUCAUACAUGUGUGCAUCUGCCAUGUCUUAGCAUUUUUUAUUUAACUAGGCAAGUCAGUUAAGAACAAAUUAUUCUUAGACGGCAAAAGGCCUCCUGCGUGGAGGAGGGCUGGGAUAAAAAAAAAUAUAUUUGAAAAAAGGAGGAUAAUACAGUAAGGCACUAAAGUAAUACUGCAAAAAAAACACAGAAAAGGAAUACACUUUUUGGCCUAAAUGCAAAGCAUAAUGUUUGGGGCAAAUCCUACACAACACAGUAACUGCCUCCUUGUUUUCAAACAUGGUGGUGGCUGUAUCAUAGUAUAGGUAUACUAGACAUCAGCAAAUAUGGAGUAUGUCAGUAUAAAAGAAACACAAAAUCCUAGAGGAAAACCUGCUUCAGUCUGCUUUACACCAGCAACUGGGCGAGGAAGUCACCUUUCAGCAGGACAAUAACCUAAAACACAAGGUCAAAUCUACACUGGUGUUGCUUACCAAGAAGACAGUGAAUGUUCCUGAAUGGCCAAGUUACAGUGCUUAAAUCUGCUUGAAAAUCUAUGGCAAGUUUAAAAAUGCCCAACAUCUUGUAAGAGCUUGAAGAAUUUUGAAAAUAAUAGUGGGCAAAUAUUGCACAAUCCAGGUGUGCAAAGGUCUUAGAGACUUCCCCAAGAAGCCUCAGAGCUGUAAUCGAUGCCAAAGGUGUUUGUAUAAACCCAGGCACUGAAUACUUAUUCAAAGACUAUAUUUUAGUUAUUACAUUUUAUUAAUCUUGAAAAAGUUUAAGAAUUUUUCUUCCACUGUGUUAUUACAGAGUAUUUUGUGUAGAUUGUUGACAAAAAAAUAGCAAUUCAAUUAAUUUAAAUCCCACUUUGUAACACAAUAAAAUGAGAAGAAAACCAAGGGGUAUGAAUACUUUUUUUUUGCAAGGCGCUGUAUACCGUGACUUCGGAAAGUAUUCACACCCCUUGACUUUUUCCAAAUUUUGUUACUUUACGGCAGGGGUGGGAAACUCCAGUCCUCGAGGGCCUGAUUGGUGUCACAGUUUUGCCCCAGCUCCAGCCAACACGCCUGACUCUAAUAUUCACGUAACCAUGAUGUUCAGUUUAGAAUGCAAUUUCAUUAAUCAGCUGUGUUUGCCAGGGAUGGAGAAGAAGUGUGACACCAAUCAGGCCCUCAAGGAUUGGAGUUGCCCACCCCUGCUUUACAGCCUUAUUCUAAAAUGGAUUAAAUAAAAUAAAUCCUCAGCAAGCUACACAAAAUACCCCAUAAUGACAAAGUGAAAACAGGUUUUUAGAAAUGUUUGCUAACUUAUUAACAAUAAAAAACAGAAAUACCUUAUUCACAUAAGUAUUCAUACCCUUUGCUGUGAGACUCAAAAUUGAGCUCAGGUGCAUCUUAUUUCCAUUAAUCAUCCUUGAGAUGUUUCUACAACUUUGAGUCCAUCUGUGGUAAAUUCAAUUGAUUGGACAUGAUUUGGAAGGCACACACCUGUCUGUAUAAAGUCCCACAGUUGACAGUGCACGUCAGAGCAACAACCAAGUCAUGAGGUCGAAGGAAUUAUCUGUAAAUCUCAGAGACAAGAUUGUGUCACGGCACAGAUCUGGGGAAGGGUACCAAACAUUUUUUUGCAGCAUUGAAGGUCCCCAAGAACACAGUGGCCUCCAUCAUUCUUAAAUGGAAGAAGUUUAGAGCCACUAAGACACUUCCUAGAGCUGGCUGCCCGGCCAAACUGAGCAAUCAGGGAGGUGACCAAGAACCCGAUGGUUGCUCUGACAGAGCUCUAGAGUUCCUCUGUGGAGAUGGGAGAUACAACAAAUUGGAAUUCAUAACAUAUCAUACAUAAAUUCGUAACAUAUCAUCCGAAUUGUAAUUCGUAACAUAUCAUACGAAAUGGGUGAUGGACAUCCACAAAUGAAUGCACGCCAUACAAAACGUAACAUAUCAUACUAACUAGCCUAGUGGUUUGAGCGUUGGACUAGUAACCGGAAGGUUGCAAGUUCAAAUCCCCGAGCUGACAAGGUACAAAUCUGUCGUUCUGCCCCUGAACAGGCAGUUAACCCACUGUUCCUAGGCCGUCAUUGAAAAUAAGAAUUUGUUCUUAACUGACUUGCCUAGUAAAAUAAAAAUAAUAAAUGGACUGUCUUGGAUUUAUGUACAGAAUAAUACAACAUGCUCUGAGACCAGGUUGCAGCCUGGGAAAUCCCAGAACUGGUGCAACAUCAUUGGAACAUUGUUAAUGUGGAAAUCAACACGUCUGCCUAGGAUGACUAAAAUGAUCCUGAAUGAAUCGUGAAUAAUGAUGAGUAAAGAAAGUUACACAGGGUCAAAGAUCAUACCCUCAAGACAUGCUAACCAAUAACAGUGGAGGUCAGCAUGUCUUAAGUAUGUUACGUUGAACUGGGUGAAUAGAAUGUGAAUAAGUCAUCCAAUAUGCUGUAAUAGAAAUAAAGCCAUGCACGUCAACAAAAAAAUGUAGCUCCCUAAUCUUAAACUGCUUCAAUGAUUGCCAAUAUAGAACUAACUCGUGUUUAAAUCUACCCCACAUGAUAGGGAGAAUUGGAUAAAUUGGAAUCUUGCCAUGUAGAUAACAUAAUGCAUGGUGGGAGGGAGCUUAAACACAAAGUCAUCUCUCAUGAGCCAUAGAUCAGCCCCCUGUAAUAACUCAUAGAAGUCCAAACCUGGUUGGAAAAACUCAUCACAAACAGCAUUGUAAUGUGGCUGGAGAGUCAACCUGUCGUAAACAGUAAAUAGCAAAUAGAAAAUCAUAUCCUUUACUCUCUCUCUCUGUGAAAGUCAUUUUGUCUGAGUGCCC